UACGUAGGGGGCAAGCGUUGUCCGGAUUUAUUGGGCGUAAAGAGCGUGUAGGCGGCCAGGUAGGUCGGUUGUGAAAACUGGAGGCUCAACCUUCAGAGGUCGACCGAAACCAUCUGGCUAGAGUCCGGGAGAGGAGAGUGGAAUUCCUGGUGUAGCGGUGAAAUGCGCAGAUAUCAGGAAGAACACCCGUGGCGAAAGCGGCUCUCUGGAACGGUACUGACGCUGAGACGCGAAAGCGUGGGAGCGAACAGG
rnacentral:rRNA from 1 species